AUGCCUACUGGAUAAGUUGUGGGCCCCACCUGUCAGGGUUUUCUUUUUUUUCAUUGCUGAUAAGGAUAAGUUGUGCGCCCCACCAACAUAAGCAAACUCACGGUGGCUAAGGACAACUAACGGCCCACCAUCAAUUUCUCCUUUCACAUCCAGGUCCAAAAAAUGCCUCGCACAUAUUGUCGCGCGAAACAACGUGGUCUGGGUCCAUUCACAGCGAAAGGUGGCUCCUCACGGCGGAUUCACUUGAAAGGUGUCGGUCAGGAGCUAUUUUGCCGAUAAACGUAUACCCCCAAAAUUUAGAGUAGACACUUUCCUCUUUUGGUAACUUUCUAUUUUUGCUUUUUUUAAUUUUGUUAUCUUUUAUUCCUAAAACCUUCCAGCAUAUUUCAUUCUUAAAACUGAUCAUUUGAAAAAAAAAUUGAUAACCAUUGCUCUCAAAUCAAAGAUUUUACAUUUCUUCCCUUGUAUUUUUGUACAAGUAUCUACUGUACUUUCUCUACUGCGUUUCUGCAUUGGUUUUACGGUACGAUUUUUACAGCAUUUCUGUAUUUUCUUUACUUCUUAUGGUGUUUCUACACUACACAUAUUCUGUUCUCCUACUACAAAUAUUGUAUUGUGCUUCUAUAUUGGUUUCUACUACGCAUUUUCUGUUGUUCUACGCUGGUUUUUGUUGCAUUUACUACUCCUUUUCCAUAUUGGCUUCCGCUGCAAUUUUUUGUGGUACCACAUUUUCUUUAGCAUAAUACCCCACCUUAUUAACUCAUAGGAAAUGUCGGUAUACAGGCGAUAUCAGAGGUAUCAAGGAGUCACAGGCGGCGCCGUGCAGAGAGAGUAGAAGCCGCUUUUGAGAGGUUAUAGGUGUUUGAAUCUCUCUUCUCGUGGCCUAAGUGGACGCCAGCAAAAAGUUUCCCCCUCGAUCUCCUGGAAUUCUCUUGCAAUGGUACUGUCAGAGCAUAAACUAACUUGGAAGUUCUUCACAACAGACAGGCAAUCAGAGGCAACCUGAACUAAAGUUUCACCUAGGUAACCGGCCAAGGACAAAGCUUC
rnacentral:lncRNA from 1 species